rnacentral:rRNA from 1 species
UGGGGAAUAUUGGGCAAUGGGCGAAAGCCUGACCCAGCGACGCCGCGUGGGUGAUGAAGGCCUUCGGGUUGUAAAGCCCUGUCAUGCGGAAAGAGCGACCCUGUGACGCAUACUCACAGGGAGUGACGGUACCGCAGGAGGAAGCACCGGCUAACUCCGUGCCAGCAGCCGCGGUAAUACGGAGGGUGCAAGCGUUGUUCGGAAUUAUUGGGCGUAAAGGGCGCGUAGGCGGUAAUGUAAGUCAGAUGUGAAAUACUCCGGCUCAACCAGAGAACAGCAUCUGAAACUGCAUAACUAGAGUACAGAAGAGGGAAACGGAAUUCCCGGUGUAGAGGUGAAAUUCGUAGAUAUCGGGAGGAACACCAGUGGCGAAGGCGGUUUCCUGGUCUGAUACUGACGCUGAGGCGCGAAAGCGUGGGGAGCAAACA